AGCGAACGCUGGCGGCAGGCCUAACACAUGCAAGUCGAGCGCCACGCAAGGGGAGCGGCAGACGGGAGAGUAACACGCGGGAGCGUACCCUUCGGUUCGGAACAACCCAGGGAAACUUGGGCUAAUACCGGAUACGUCCGAAAGGUGAAAGAUUCAUCGCCGAAGGAUCGGCCCGCUUCUGAUUAGCUAGUUGGUGGGGUAAUGGCCCACCAAGGCGACGAUCAGUAGCUGGUCUGAGAGGAUGAUCAGCCUCACUGGGACUGAGACACGGCCCAGACUCCUACGGGAGGCAGCAGUGGGGAAUAUUGGACAAUGGGCGCAAGCCUGAUCCAGCCAUGCCGCGUGGGUGAUGAAGGCCCUAGGGUUGUAAAGCCCUUUCGGCGGGGAAGAUAAUGACGGUACCCGCAGAAGAAGCCCCGGCUAACUUCGUGCCAGCCGCCGCGGUAACAC
rnacentral:rRNA from 1 species